AUACCGCUGAAGAGUCCCAAACUAGGACGAAACAGCUUUCCAGUAC
rfam:Trichobilharzia regenti genome assembly, scaffold: TRE_scaffold0001040